rnacentral:rRNA from 1 species
AUGGUCUUAGCUUGCUAAGGCCGAUGGCGACCGGCGCACGGGUGAGUAACACGUAUCCAACCUGCCGUCUACUCUUUGGACAGCCUUCUGAAAGGAAGAUUAAUACAAGAUGGCAUCAUGAGUUCACAUGUUCACAUGAUUAAAGGUAUUCCGGUGUACGAUGGGGAUGCGUUCCAUUAGGUAGUAGGCGGGGUAACGGCCCACCUAGCCAACGAUGGAUAGGGGUUCUGAGAGGAAGGUCCCCACAUUGGAACUGAGACACGGUCCAAACUCC